rnacentral:rRNA from 1 species
UACGAAGGGGGCUAGCGUUGUUCGGAAUUACUGGGCGUAAAGCGCGCGCAGGCGGCUUCUCAAGUCAGGGGUGAAAGCCCAGAGCUCAACUCUGGAAUUGCCUUUGAGACUGAGUGGCUUGAGUACGAGAGAGGUGAGUGGAAUUCCCAGUGUAGAGGUGAAAUUCGUAGAUAUUGGGAAGAACACCGGUGGCGAAGGCGGCUCACUGGCUCGUAACUGACGCUCAUGCACGACAGCGUGGGGAUCAAACAGG